rnacentral:misc_RNA from 1 species
GAUGAAGAACGUAGCGAAAUGCGAUACGUAAUGUGAAUUGCAGAAUUCAGUGAAUCAUCGAAUCUUUGAACGCAUAUUGCGCUCUCUGGUAUUCCGGAGAGCAUGCUUGUUUGAGUAUCAGUAAACACCUCAACUCCCUUUUCUUUUUUGAAAUUGGAGCUGGACUUGAGUGAUCCCAACGCUUUCUUCCAAGAAAGUGGCGGGUUGCUUGAAAUGCAGGUGCAGCUGAACUUUUCUCUGAGCUAUAAGCAUAUCUAUUUAGUCUGCCUAAAGAACAGAUUAUUACCUUUGCUGCAGCUAACAUAAAGGAGACUAGUUCUUGUGCUGACUGAUGCAGGAUUCACAGAGACAGCUUCGGCUGACUUUGUAAACUCGAUCUCAAAUCAAGUAAGACUACCCGCUGAACUUAAGCAUAUCAAUAAGCGGAGGA